rnacentral:rRNA from 1 species
UACGUAGGGAGCAAGCGUUGUCCGGAAUCAUUGGGCGUAAAGCGCGCGUAGGCGGCCCCGUAAGUCCGCUGUGAAAGUCAAAGGCUCAACCUUUGAAAGCCGGUGGAUACUGUGGGGCUAGAGUCCGGAAGAGGCGAGUGGAAUUCCUGGUGUAGCGGUGGAAUGCGCAGAUAUCAGGAGGAACACCGGUGGCGAAGGCGGGUCUCUGGGCCGAUACUGACGCUGAGGAGCGAAAGCAUGGGUAGCGAACAGG